CUGGCUGAAGAGCUGAUGAGCUUUUCAUGUCUCUUCUCUGACUGAAGCUGAAGAGUCUGUUUAUGUUCUGAUCUCAG
rnacentral:snoRNA from 1 species